GAUGAACGCUAGCGGCAGGCUUAACACAUGCAAGUCGAGGGGCAUCAUAACUAGCAAUAGUUGAUGGCGACCGGCGGACGGGUGCGUAACACGUAUGCAACCUACCAAUAACAAAGGGAUAGUCAGGAGAAAUUCUGAAUAAUACCAUAUAAUAUCAAGCGAGGGCAUCUAAGAUUGAUCAAAGAUUUAUCGGUUAUUGAUGGGCAUGCGUACCAUUAGCUAGUUGGUAAGGUAACGGCUUACCAAGGCGAUGAUGGUUAGGGGCUCUGAGAGGAUAGUCCCCCACACUGGUACUGAGACACGGACCAGACUCCUACGGGAGGCAGCAGUGAGGAAUAUUGGGCAAUGGACGGAAGUCUGACCCAGCCAUGCCGCGUGCAGGAAGACGGCCUUAUGGGUUGUAAACUGCUUUUGUAUGGGUGAAAAAGGGUGUUCGAGUAACACCGUAUUGCUUUGACCAUACGAAUAAGUAUCGGCUAACUCCGUGCCAGCAGCCGCGGUAAUACGGAGGAUGCGAGCGUUAUCCGGAUUUAUUGGGUUUAAAGGGUGCGCAGGCGGACUAAUAAGUCUACGGUGAAAUACAUGGGCUCAACCGAUGCAGUGCCGUAGAUACUGUUAGACUGGAGUAUAACAGACGUAGGCGGAAUGUAGCAUGUAGCGGUGAAAUGCAUAGAGAUGCUACAGAACCCCGAUAGCGAAGGCAGCUUACGAUAUUAUAACUGACGCUCAUGCACGAAAGCGUGGGGAUCAAACAGGAUUAGAUACCCUGGUAGUCCACGCUGUAAACGAUGAUAACUGGCUUUUUGUCUGUAAGGAUGAGAGGCUGAGAGAAAUCAAUAAGUUAUCCACCUGGGGAGUACGACGGCAACGUUGAAACUCAAAGGAAUUGACGGGGGCCCGCACAAGCGGAGGAGCAUGUGGUUUAAUUCGAUGAUACGCGAGGAACCUUACCCGGGCUUAAAUGGGAAUUGACGUAUAAGGAAACUUAUAUUUCGUAAGACAAUUUUCAAGGUGCUGCAUGGUUGUCGUCAGCUCGUGCCGUGAGGUGUCGGGUUAAGUCCCAUAACGAGCGCAACCCACAUAUUUAGUUACCAGCACGUAUUGGUGGGGACUCUAAAUAGACUGCCUACGCAAGUAGAGAGGAAGGUGUGGAUGACGUCAAAUCAGCACGGCCCUUACGUCCGGGGCUACACACGUGCUACAAUGGUAGAGACAGAGGGCAGCGAGCAGGUGACUGUUAGCGAAUCUCAGAAACUCUAUCUCAGUCCGGAUCGGAGUCUGCAACUCGACUCCGUGAAGUUGGAUUCGCUAGUAAUCGCGCAUCAGCCAUGGCGCGGUGAAUACGUUCCCGGGCCUUGUACACACCGCCCGUCAAGCCAUGGGAGCUGGGGGUACCUGAAGUACGUUACCGAGAGGAUCGUCCUAGGGUAAAACCGGUGACUGGGGCU
rnacentral:rRNA from 1 species